rnacentral:lncRNA from 1 species
ACCCGGAGCCGACUAGGGGGAAGAGUGGGGUGCGGAGCGGGAGGGGCGUGCUGGGAGCCGAGACCACGCGCUGUGCCCAACUGGUGCCGCGGGGCUGGGCGGCCGCUUACCUGGUCUUCUGGCAGGCGCAGCAGAUCCAGUCCUCCUCUUUCUUCUGGUAGAAGCAGCCGCUCUUACAGAUGCUGUAUUUCCGAUCCACUAUCUCCUUCUUGGAAUUGAGGAAGGUGAACGGCGGGCAGCAGUGUAUGCUGAAGUGUUCGGAGUACUUCUGGUUUUUGGAGAGUCUGGGACCCUCCUUGGCCGGUUUCUGACUCAUCUCACUGGAAAUCGCCGAUGCAAGGAGACAGGAGGAGACAUAAACGCACAUCAGGAAAGGGAGCCCUCUACUCUGGAAGCCCCCUGCUACUCCCAUAAUCCAAGGUAACAUUCAGGGGGGCCCUACAGAGCAACACCCUGGAAGACCAACUUCCCCCCAACUCUGUGGAAAGGAACUCAACUAACAGUUCAUUAAUUUUCAUUUGUGUAUUUUUAAAAAUCGUGUUUUUAAGGAGAAAAAGAAACAUGGGCUCUUGUUUUCCUUAUGUUUUAGAGACCCAUGUAAGAUAGGAAAACAUUUAAAACCAAACAUAUCCUUGACUAAAUAAUAUUCUAGAGUUAGGAAAAGCCUUUUCUCUAAAAAGCAAAAUAAAAAAUUUAUUAUUAUUUAUUAUUAAAACAAUCAUCAUUCAUGCAAUAAAAUACUACACAAGGAAAAAGAACAAACUGCUGACCUGCUGACAUACAUCAACACAUUUUGAUCUCACAGACAUACCAUUGAACAAAAGAAGUCAGACACAAGAAAACAAGCUGUGUGUACAGGAGGUUCAAGAACAGGCAAAACUAAUCGAUGGUGCUAGAAAUCAGAGCAUAGUUAUAUUUGGAGAAGGUGGGUUCCGACUCAGAAGGGGCAACAGGGGAGCUUGCUGGAGACUGAAAACAGUCCUUCUAGGAAUGUGACAGAUGCAGAAAUAGUCCUACCUAACACUGCAAAACACCGAAGCCCACAGGGGACUUACGUGACUAUCAAUCAACAGGAAUCAACUUAGUUAAUGGGCAUAAACUGGAUACUGAGAAUGUCUCUGCUCUCAACAAACUCAGGGUCAGGUUGGAGAUGCAUAUGUGCAGUAUGUAAUUACAAAACACUGUUAUGUUGGCCAAUACAAGUGUGUACAAAGCAUGGAAAAAGGAUGGAUUCCUUGAAGACAGAACCUAUAAUCUGGGUUUUUAAGGAUGAGUACAGAACAAUAACUAAAUAACUUUGAGGGG